CCUACGGGAGGCAGCAGUGAGGAAUAUUGGUCAAUGGGCGCAAGCCUGAACCAGCCAAGUAGCGUGAAGGAUGACUGCCCUACGGGUUGUAAACUUCUUUUAUAAAGGAAUAAACUGCGGCACGUGUGCCUUUCUGUAUGUACUUUACGAAUAAGGAUCGGCUAACUCCGUGCCAGCAGCCGCGGUAAUACGGAGGAUCCGAGCGUUAUCCGGAUUUAUUGGGUUUAAAGGGAGCGUAGAUGGGUUGUUAAGUCAGUUGUGAAAUUUUGCGGCUCAACCGUAAAAUUGCAAUUGAUACUGGCAGGCUUGAGUACAGUUGAGGUAGGCGGAAUGCGUGGUGUAGCGGUGAAAUGCUUAGAGAUCACGAAGAACUCCGAUUGCGAAGGCAGCUUACUAAGCUGCCACUGACAUUGAUGCUCGAAAGUGUGGGUAGCAAACAGGAUUAGAUACCCCUGUAGUC
rnacentral:rRNA from 1 species